GAACUGGCCAGAGAGACCCAAGGGAUAGUCAGGGACGGGCAGACAUGCAGCUAGGGUUCUGGGUCCUGGACAGGGGCAGCCAGGCCCUGUGACGGGAAGACCCCGAGCUCCGGCCCGGGGAGGGGCCAUGGUGUUGCCUGUCCAACAUGUCAGCCGAAGUGCGGCUGAGGCAGCUCCAGCAGCUGGUGCUGGACCCAGGCUUCCUGGGACUGGAGCCCCUGCUCGACCUUCUCCUGGGCGUCCACCAGGAGCUGGGUGCCUCUCACCUAGCCCAGGACAAGUAUGUGGCCGACUUCUUGCAGUGGGUGGAGCCCAUUGCAGCAAGGCUUAAGGAGGUCCGACUGCAGAGGGAUGACUUUGAGAUUUUGAAGGUGAUCGGGCGUGGGGCGUUCAGCGAGGUAGCGGUGGUGAAGAUGAAACAGACGGGCCAAGUGUAUGCCAUGAAGAUUAUGAAUAAGUGGGACAUGCUGAAGAGAGGCGAGGUGUCGUGCUUCCGGGAAGAAAGGGAUGUAUUAGUGAAAGGGGACCGGCGCUGGAUCACACAGCUGCACUUUGCCUUCCAGGAUGAGAACUACCUGUACCUGGUCAUGGAAUACUACGUGGGCGGGGACCUGCUAACGCUGCUGAGCAAGUUUGGGGAGCGGAUCCCCGCUGAGAUGGCGCGCUUCUACCUGGCCGAGAUUGUCAUGGCCAUAGACUCGGUGCACCGGCUGGGCUACGUGCACAGGGACAUCAAACCAGAUAACAUUCUGCUGGACCGAUGUGGGCACAUUCGCCUGGCAGACUUCGGCUCCUGCCUCAAACUGCAGCCUGAUGGAAUGGUGAGGUCGCUGGUGGCUGUGGGCACCCCGGACUACCUGUCUCCUGAGAUUCUGCAGGCCGUUGGUGGAGGGCCUGGGGCAGGCAGCUACGGGCCAGAGUGUGACUGGUGGGCACUGGGUGUGUUCGCCUAUGAAAUGUUCUAUGGGCAGACACCCUUCUACGCGGACUCCACAGCCGAGACAUAUGCCAAGAUCGUGCAUUACAGGGAACACUUGUCGCUGCCGCUGGCAGACACAGUUGUCCCCGAGGAAGCUCAGGACCUCAUUCGUGGGCUGCUGUGUCCUGCUGAGAUAAGGCUAGGUCGAGGUGGGGCAGGUGAUUUCCAGAAACAUCCUUUCUUCUUUGGCCUUGAUUGGGAGGGUCUCCGAGACAGUGUACCCCCCUUUACACCAGACUUCGAGGGUGCCACGGACACAUGCAAUUUCGAUGUGGUGGAGGACCGGCUCACUGCCAUGGAGACACUGUCGGACAUGCAGGAAGACAUGCCCCUUGGGGUCCGCCUGCCCUUCGUGGGUUACUCCUACUGCUGCAUGGCCUUCAGAGACAAUCAGGUCCCGGACCCCACCCCUAUGGAACUAGAGGCCCUGCAGUUGCCUGUGUCAGACUUGCAAGGGCUUGACUUGCAGCCCCCAGUGUCCCCACCGGAUCAAGUGGCUGAAGAGGCCGACCUAGUAGUGGCUGUCCCUGUCCCUGUGGCUGAGGCAGAGACCACGGUCACGCUGCAGAAGCUCCAGGAAGCCCUGGAAGAAGAGGUUCUCACCCGGCAGAGCCUGAGCCGCGAGCUGGAGGCCAUCCGGACCGCCAACCAGAACUUCUCCAGCCAACUACAGGAGGCCGAGGUCCGGAACCGAGACCUGGAGGCGCAUGUUAGGCAGCUACAGGAACGCAUGGAGAUGCUGCAGGCCCCAGGAGCCGCAGCCAUCACGGGGGUCCCCAGUCCCCGGGCCACGGAUCCACCUUCCCAUGCUUCUCGCCAAAUCCUCCCCAAGGGAACUCCCUAGACUCCCGUUCUGGCCUCGACUAGAUUCCCGCACUGCCUCUCGCCCUGCUGCUGGGCUCCGAUCGGGUCACCUGUCCCUUCUCUCUCCAGCUAGAUGGCCCCCCGGCCGUGGCUGUGGGCCAGUGCCCGCUGGUGGGGCCAGGCCCCAUGCACCGCCGUCACCUGCUGCUCCCUGCCAGGAUCCCUAGGCCUGGCCUAUCCGAGGCGCGUUGCCUGCUCCUGUUCGCCGCUGCUCUGGCUGCUGCCGCCACACUGGGCUGCACUGGGUUGGUGGCCUAUACCGGCAGUCUCACCCCAGUCUGGUGUUUCCCGGGAGCCACCUUCGCCCCCUGAACCCUAAGACUCCAAGCCAUCUUUCAUUUAGGCCUCCUAGGAAGAUCGAGUGGCCAGGGAACGACCCAAAGCGUCUCUAUGCCCACCCCACCCCCCCUCACCGCUCCGCUCCACACUUCUGUGAGCCUGGGUCCCCACCCAGCUCCGCUCCUGUGAUCCAGGCCCGCCACCUGGCGGCCGGGGAGGGAGGAACAGGGCUUGUGCCCAGCACCCCUGGUUCCUGCAGAGCUGGUAGCCACUGCUGCUGCAGCAGCCGGGCAUUCGCCUACCACGCUUUACUCAGCCCCGACGUGGAUGGGCAAACUGCUCAGCUCAUCCGAUUUCACUUUUUCACUCUCCCAGCCAUCAGUUACAAGCCAUAAGCAUGAGCCCCCUAUCUCCAGGGACAUCCCAUUCCCAUAGUGAAGGAUCUGCAAGACCUCUGCCAGCACACACGGAGUCUUUGGCUUCGGACAGCCUCACUCCUGGGGGUUGCUGCAACUCCUUCCCCGUGUACACGUCUGCACUCUAACAACGGAGCCACAGCUGCACCCCCCCCCCCCAAGCAGUGUGGGUAUUUAUUGACCUUGUUAUCUGACUCACUGACAGACUCCGGGACCCACGUUUUAGAUGCACUGAGACUCGACAUUCCUCGGUAUUUAUUGUCUGUCCCCACCUACAACCUCCACUCCCGUCCCUUGCGAAUAAAAUACUUCUGGUCUGCCCUAAA